rnacentral:rRNA from 1 species
AUUGAACGCUGGCGGCAUGCCUUACACAUGCAAGUCGAACGGCAGCACGGGAGCAAUCCUGGUGGCGAGUGGCGAACGGGUGAGUAAUAUAUCGGAACGUGCCCAGUCGCGGGGAUAACGUAGCGAAAGCUACGCUAAUACCGCAUACGAUCUACGGAUGAAAGCGGGGGAUCGCAAGACCUCGCGCGAUUGGAGCGGCCGAUAUCAGAUUAGGUAGUUGGUGAGGUAAAGGCUCACCAAGCCGACGAUCUGUAGCUGGUCUGAGAGGACGACCAGCCACACUGGGACUGAGACACGGCCCAGACUCCUACGGGAGGCAGCAGUGGGGAAUUUUGGACAAUGGGCGCAAGCCUGAUCCAGCAAUGCCGCGUGCAGGAUGAAGGCCUCGGUGUAACUAGCUUUUGUUACGGUAACGAAA